rnacentral:rRNA from 1 species
UACAGAGGUCUCAAGCGUUGUUCGGAUUCAUUGGGCGUAAAGGGUGCGUAGGUGGUGGGGUAAGUCGGAUGUGAAAUCUCCAAGCUCAACUUGGAAACUGCAUUGGAAACUACCUUGCUUGAGGAUUUGAGGGGGGAUUGGAAUACUUGGUGUAGCAGUGAAAUGCGUAGAUAUCAAGUGGAACACCAGUGGCGAAGGCGAAUCCCUGGAAAAUACCUGACACUGAGGCACGAAAGCGUGGGGAGCAAACAGG